UUUAUUUUUUUUCAACUGGAUUGCUUGUUUAUUCUUUGUGUAUGUAUGUACAUAUGUAUAUGUUUAUCUGUGUGUAUGUAUGAACCUGUUUAUGUAUGUAUAUUUGAGUACAUAUUGUGUACGUGUGUGUGUAUUAGUAACUGGGCAAAAUGAGUAACUUCUUAAUUUCUUGUUAUUUUCUCCCAACCUGUUUGAAAUCAUUACAUUGCAAGUAUUGCAUCAUUGUUUUGCAUUGCUGCAUCAUCUUCAAGAAUAGAAAUCGCUUUGAUAAUAAUGAGUGGUGAAAAAAUUUCAAUUAGCCCCAUUUUACAGUUCCAGUGAUAAAAAGAACUGAAUGCAAGGGCAGCAGCAAAAGAAAUUAAUGCUAUGGAAAACCCAGGAACUGUCAAUAAAUGUGAGGCACAAAACUGGUUCAAAAAUUUCAAGGGAGGUAACACCAACCUCAAAAACAAACCAUCUGUUUUGGAAGACGAGGCCUUGCUUGGAACGGUUGAACAACAGCAAAGCACAUUUGUUGUGUGUGUGUGUGUGUGUGUGCGAGCGUGCAUGUACGUGCUUGUGUGCAUGCAUGCAUGUGUGUGUGUGCAUGCACGUGUAUGCAUGCAUGCCUGCUUGCAAGCAUGUAUGUGUUUGUUCAUUUGUUCAAAGCUGCAUUUUGUUUACCUCCAAAUAUGGACUCCAGGAUAUCUAUUGACUUAUUGAUUAAUAUCAUUUUCUAAGAAAAUAUUUGUCACAAAAAUAACUAUGAUUGUAUGAAAGCAGAUAACUUGUAUGAUUACUUGGAAUUUCUAAAUAUUUCUGUAUAUAUCUCAAUGUACACAUUACACACAUAAUGUACACACACACACACACACACACACACACACACACACACACACACACACACACACACACACACACACACACACACGUUAUUUUUGCAUAUAUAAAUUUGUAGUUGAUAUGCAAACAUCCUGCUUUCACAUGUUUGUUGUUUUUCUUCUUCUGACCUAUUCAAUACAUUCUUGGAAAAUAUUAA